rnacentral:misc_RNA from 1 species
AUGGCUGACAAUCCUGCAAGUUCUUCUUCACAACAGCUUCUUGCUCUGCGGGUUAUGAGAUUGGCUCGUCCAAAAUUUGCUCCUGUCGAUGGUUUCUCCCACGAUCCCGUCGAUCCUACAGGAUUCGGUGAACUUCUCGCUGGAAAAGUUUCAGAAAUAUCGAAAGAAUCUCGACAAGAUCUUCCAAUCGGCGAAUAUUUGAUUGCACCACAAAUGUUCGAAAAUAUCUAUCUGGGAGAGACGUUUACUUUCUAUGUAAAUGUUGUAAACGAAAGCGAGAAGACUGUCUCUAGUGUGAGCCUAAAAUGUGAGCUUCAAACAUCAACUCAACGAGUUGUUCUUCCAUGUUCCGUUCAAGACGCAACAAUCGAAUCUUCAAAAUGUGAAGGACAGGUCAUCAGUCACGAAGUGAAAGAAAUCGGGCAACAUAUACUGAUAUGCUCGGUCAACUACAAAACAUCGAACGGCGAGAACAUGUAUUUCCGGAAAUUUUUCAAAUUUCCAGUAUCGAAACCGAUUGAUGUGAAAACAAAGUUUUACAGUGCCGAGGUUUCGUCCAACCGAGUGCUGUGUAUAAAUGUCGUUUUCUUUAGGACAAUGCGAAUCAAGAUGUCUACCUCGAAGCCCAAAUUGAAAAUACAUCAAAUGCGAAUAUGUUCCUGGAAAAAGUCGAGUUGGAUCCAAGUCAACAUUAUAAUGUUACUAGUAUCGCUCAUGAGGAUGAAUUUGGCGAUGUUGGAAAACUUCUGAAACCAAAAGACAUUCGUCAGUUUUUGUUCUGUCUAACACCAGCCGAUGUUCAUAACACACUUGGAUAUAAAGAUUUGACAAGUAUUGGAAAGUUGGAUAUGUCAUGGAGAACGAGCAUGGGAGAGAAGGGACGGCUCCAAACUAGUGCUCUUCAAAGAAUUGCACCUGGAUAUGGAGAUGUUCGACUUUCUGUCGAGAAGACGCCAGCAUGCGUAGAUGUUCAGAAACCUUUUGAAGUGUCUUGCAGACUUUACAAUUGCUCAGAAAGAGCACUUGAUCUACAACUUCGACUUGAACAACCAUCGAAUCGUCAUCUUGUUUUCUGUUCACCAUCCGGAGUCUCUCUCGGACAACUUCCUCCUUCACAACAUGUCGACUUCUCUCUCAACGUUUUCCCGGUUACUGUAGGAAUUCAAAGCAUAUCAGGAAUACGGAUCACCGACACAUUCACCAAAAGAAUCUAUGAGCACGACGAUAUCGCUCAAAUUUUCGUCAGUUGA